AUAUAGAUAUAGAUAUAUACAUAUACAUAUAGAUAGAGCGAGAGAGAGAGAGAGAGAGAGAGAGAGAGAGAGAGGAACAGUAGAUAAAGGCCUUCGUUUUCAAGUCAAACUCCAGAAAUUAGGAAAUUGAAUCUCUCAGAAUAGCAAAAUCCGGCGAGUGUUUAGCAGCUGCAUCCUCAUUCAUCCGGCGAUCUUACAAUUUGAUGAUCGACGGAGCCACCUCUGGCGCGUCGGUGGACGACGGCGGUGGAGUAGACUCGGAGCUUCCUGGGGAUUCGGUGGUGGUGGUUGGACUUGGGAGGGAGGUGUUGUUGAAGAGAUUGUAUAUUAAGCGAUGAAGAAAGGCAAGGGGAAAAACAGCAAGUUGCUGCCUAAUUCGUUUAGGAUAAUUUCGUCUUGUAUUAAAACUGUAUCGACGAAUGCUAGCACCGCCGUGCGCUCGGCCGGCGCAACCGUCGCUGCCUCCAUUUCGUCGCCUGGAGACGAUCGCAAAGAGCAGGUGUUGUGGGCUGGCUUUGACAAAUUGGAGCUAACUACAACUUCCUUCAGACAUGUCUUAUUACUUGGCUACGUAAAGGGAUUUCAAGUCUUUGAUGUUGAGGAUGCUACGAGUGUAAGUGAGUUGGUUUCAAGGAGAGAUGGCCCCGUUACCUUCUUACAGAUGCUUCCAGCUCCUGCAAAGUGUGACGAUCUUGGAAGUUACAGAUCAUCACAUCCAAUGCUGGUGGUGGUUGGAGGAAAUGAGGAUGAAAGAAUCACCUCGCUUCAGAAUAAUGGGCAAGGAUCUGGCAGAAAUGGUUCGUUGGAGUCAUCAUUUGCAGGCUCUUGUGAUCCACCUACUGCUGUUCGUUUUUACUCAAUGAAAUUAAAUGAAUAUGUCAAGGCCAUUGACUUCAAGUCAUCAAUUUUUAUGGUUCGGUGCAGCCCAAGAGUAGUAGCUGUUGGUCUUGAAGAACAAAUUUACUGCUUUGAUGCCUUGACUCUGGAGAAGAAGUUCAUAGUCAUCACCUAUCCAGUUCCUCGAGUUGGAGAGCAUGGAAUGUAUGGAAUGAACAGUGGAUAUGGUCCUAUGGCUGUGGGGCCAAGGUGGUUGGCAUAUUCUCCUAAUCGCCCAUUUUUCUUAAACACGGGCCGGGUGAGCCCGAAGAGCCUUGCCUCUAGUGUCAGUCCAUCAACAUCUCCUGGGAGCGGCGCAAUGAUGGCUCGCUAUGCAGUGGAAUCAAGCAAGCACUUAGCUGCUGGAUUAAUCACCCUAGGAGACAAGGGAUACAAGAAAUUAUCUAAGUACUAUCCUGAGUUGCUUCCUGAGAGCCCUAGUUCACCAGGCUGGAUUUCUGGGAAACUAGCAGUAUCUGAACCCGAAAAUGCUGGAAUGAUUGCUGUGAAAGACCUUGUGUGCUCUGAGGUCAUAUCACAAUUUAGGGCCCACACGAGCCCAAUUUCGGCUUUGUGUUUUGAUCCAAGUGGGACCCUAUUGGUUACUGCUUCUGUUCAUGGAAAUAACAUAAAUAUAUUUCGAAUCAUGCCUUUUCAUAAAUGUGGUGGAUCUGGAUCUGGUAACUGGAGCACCAGUUAUGCCCAUCUUUACAAGCUGCAUCGUGGGAUAACCAAUGCUGUUAUCCAAGACAUCUGCUUUAGUCCUUUCAGUCAAUGGAUUGCAAUUGUAUCUUCAAGAGGAACUUGCCAUAUCUUUAUUUUGUCUCCCUUUGGGGGAGAUGAUCUUUUUCAGAUUCUGCAUGUUAAUGGCCAACGUCCUUCUCUAUUUUUGGCCUCCACCCUACCAUGGUGGUCUUCUGCAUCUUUCACUUUGAAGGAUCAUCAUGUUUUGCCUCCACCUCCUUGCACCCUUUCUGUCACCACUAGAAUAAAAUGUAGUGACUCUGGCUUGAUUAAUUCAGUUAGUAAUGCUGCUUCUUCAAUGGUGGGUAAGGUAUGGGUGCCAUCGGGUGCUGUGGCUGCAAUUUUUCACAAUACUAACACUUCCAGCACUCUGGAUGUUAAAUCAGUUGAUAAUUCAAUGGGCCACAUCUUAGUGUAUACACCAUCAGGUUUUGUGGUUCAACAUGAAAUUGUGUACUCAAUGGGGCAUGACCUGAGUGCAAGUGGAACAGAACUGUUGUCAACUCCACAAGUCAACCCUCCACAAAAUAAUGAGUUCAGAGUGAAAGUUGAACCUAUUCAAUGGUGGGAUGUGUGCAGAAGGUUGGAUAGUAUGGAGAGGGAGGAGUGUCUUACUGACAGUUUCUUUGCUGGGCCAAAUGACCUUGAGAUUGAUGAUGACUGCUCAAAAACGAUUUCCCAGGAAAACGUGGUUUCUGCGGAAAAGAAAGUGAUUAAGAAUGGUCCAUUGAAGACCCCAGAAAGAUCACAAUGGUAUUUGUCAAAUGCUGAAGUGCAAAUAAAGUCUUGCAGAUUACCCAUAUGGCAAAGGCCUAAGAUUCAUUUCCAUUUAAUGGAACCUCCUGGAGCAGAGUUUAAUUUGGAUGGAGAAUACGAAAUUGAGGCAACUUCUUCGCAUGAAAUUGAAAUAAGACAGAAGGAUUUGUUGCCAAUAUUUGAUAAUUUUCCAAGAGCAAGAUCGGGCUGGAAUGACAGGUCUGUACCUUCUGAUGGAAGAGUAUUUAAUGCUUGCUCCAAUAGUUUUCAUGCCAAAGAAAAGACCAAUGAAGCUAGUAUUAUGUGUCAUUCAAAACUUCCAUCAUUUAGUUCUACUGAAAGCUCGGAUGGAGGAUCAUCAAGACGAAUGGAGAACUUAAUUGAUCUGGAACACAUGAGCAUUGAUAAGUGUCCAACACUAAUAUGCCAUCCUGCCAGCAAUGUAAUCACGGAAAGAAAUGUAGAUACAGCUAUCAAAGUUUCCAUGACAGACCAUAAAUCGAGUCCUGUUAUACCCUUUCCACCUACAAACACCAAUGCUAGCAAUUUGGUUGUUGAAAAUGGUACCCUCAGUAGGUCAUACUCACCAGGCAGUGAAAUUCUUCCAUCAUUGGAUGCAGACGGCACAGGUUCAAAUCCAGACAUUCUUAGGCCUUCAAGCGAUGGAGAUACAGUAAAUUUUGCCCAAUUGUUUAAGGAAGGUUACUGUAAUGAGCCACUGUUCCCUGACCAUCACGAGUCAACAGGAGGUGGGACUGAUGAGAUGGAUGGGGGUGGUGAUAUGCCGGAAGAGGAAAAGCCAGAAGAAGAAGGAUGGAUGGGUGGGAUGUUUGAUUUCUCUGAAGAAGGUUAAUUAAAUUAUGCCUCAUGCUAAUUUACCAUAAUUUAAUCCAGGUGUACAAAUUAAGUUGAUUUCUGAAGAUUAAGAAAAAAAAAAAAAAUAGCAUCUGGAAUAUUAUACAAAGCUUUGAUUCUUGCUUUUUGCUCUUCUCCCUCGACGCUUACAGGUAUUACUUAUUUUCAAUAUUUAUGUAUUUUGUGUGGAAGCCUUUCUUUGCUCGAAAUUAUAUUUAUGCUUUUGUGACUAUAUCUUGUGUAUGUGUGUUUUUUUUAUAAUGAUCAAGCCCAGUCAUAAUGAAAGAAGGAACAUUAUUUUGCACAGAAAUAUGCAUUAGAGUAGAAGUGAUGCCUUAAAUGAUUUGCUACAAUAUAGUUUCCAAGCAAGGCAUGCCUGGAAUUUAUGUGCUUCUGACAUAGAAGGAAAUGGGAAAUGGGAAUUGAGGUGUGUGUGUACAU